rnacentral:lncRNA from 1 species
GCAAGGGACCGCUGACAAUUCUUAACUGCGGAGGGUAACUGGGCAGGUCCGCAUAGAAAGACGUCUUCCCGGGAAGAGGUGGAGGGUGUCCCCAGCACGGGAAAUCUCUUUGCGGAGCCUCCUGACGCAGCAUGUAAGACAGGACGGUUAUGGAUUCUGAGACAAGACCGCGGCGCCGGCUGUACGGGGAACCGCAGCACUCGCUGUGAACACAAAGGUCAUCACCCGAGCAGGUCUGCAGAGCGGCGUGGUUCACUAAGGUGCCUCGAAAAGAUGAAGUUGUGUCGCCUGGAACUGAGCCCUGACCCCUGCUCGGCUUGGAAUGAGCAUGGAAGUGUCAGAGUUCUUAUCCCAGAUCAGCUCCCAGCUUUCCAGCCCCCACCCCAUCACGAAAGGUACCAGCCUGUCAUCAUGAAACCACUAAGGCUCGGGGACGCAGGUCUGGCCCACGCAUCCAGUCAGGAGCUAGCUGGGAUCUUCUCACAGGUGGAUUGAUGGUGUCUUUGGGCUCUCUGUUCUGUUUCACUGGACUCUUGACUCUUCUGCCAGUGCCACAGUGCCUUAGUGACUGAAAUCUUCAUAGUAACUUUUUAAAACGUCCUAUAUUGAUAUUUACUUAGUUUACGGUUACAAAGUGUCUUUCCUGAAUAUGAUUUUAUAUGCUGCACGCAUGCAGUACCCAUGGAGGCCAGAAGAGGGCGCUGGAUCCCCACGGAACUGGAGAUACGGACGGUUGUGAGCCAUUUUGUGGGUGCUGGGCAUUGGACCCAGAUCCUGUGCAAGAGCAGCCCGGGGCUCAUAGCCAGUGAGCCAUCUCUCCAACCACCUCAUUCCACCAUACUCUUUCCUGUUCUUUCUUUUUUUC